rnacentral:tRNA from 1 species
GCCUGGGUGGCUCAGUCGGUUAAGCGUCCGACUUCAGCUCAGGUCAUGAUCUCACGGUUCGUGGGUUCGAGCCCCGCUUCGGGCC